rnacentral:rRNA from 1 species
AAAACAUUUGAGUGAGUGGCGGACGGGUGAGUAACACGUGGGUAACCUGCCCUAAAGUGGGGGAUAACAUUUGGAAACAGAUGCUAAUACCGCAUAAAACCUAACACCGCAUGGUGUAGGGUUGAAAGAUGGUUUCGGCUAUCACUUUAGGAUGGACCCGCGGUGCAUUAGUUAGUUGGUGAGGUAAAGGCUCACCAAGACCGUGAUGCAUAGCCGACCUGAGAGGGUAAUCGGCCACACUGGGACUGAGACACGGCCCAGACUCCUACGGGAGGCAGCAGUAGGGAAUCUUCCACAAUGGACGAAAGUCUGAUGGAGCAACGCCGCGUGAGUGAAGAAGGUUUUCGGAUCGUAAAACUCUGUUGUUGGAGAAGAAUGUAUCUGAUAGUAACUGAUCAGGUAGUGACGGUAUCCAACCAGAAAGCCACGGCUAACUACGUGCCAGCAGCCGCGGUAAUACGUAGGUGGCAAGCGUUGUCCGGAUUUAUUGGGCGUAAAGCGAGCGCAGGCGGUUUCUUAAGUCUGAUGUGAAAGCCUUCGGCUCAACCGAAGAAGUGCAUCGGAAACUGGGAAACUUGAGUGCAGAAGAGGACAGUGGAACUCCAUGUGUAGCGGUGAAAUGCGUAGAUAUAUGGAAGAACACCAGUGGCGAAGGCGGCUGUCUGGUCUGUAACUGACGCUGAGGCUCGAAAGCAUGGGUAGCAAACAGGAUUAGAUACCCUGGUAGUCCAUGCCGUAAACGAUGAGUGCUAGGUGUUGGAGGGUUUCCGCCCUUCAGUGCCGCAGCUAACGCAUUAAGCACUCCGCCUGGGGAGUACGACCGCAAGGUUGAAACUCAAAGGAAUUGACGGGGGCCCGCACAAGCGGUGGAGCAUGUGGUUUAAUUCGAAGCAACGCGAAGAACCUUACCAGGUCUUGACAUCCUUUGACCACUCUAGAGAUAGAGCUUUCCCUUCGGGGACAAAGUGACAGGUGGUGCAUGGUUGUCGUCAGCUCGUGUCGUGAGAUGUUGGGUUAAGUCCCGCAACGAGCGCAACCCUUAUUACUAGUUGCCAGCAUUUAGUUGGGCACUCUAGUGAGACUGCCGGUGACAAACCGGAGGAAGGUGGGGACGACGUCAAAUCAUCAUGCCCCUUAUGACCUGGGCUACACACGUGCUACAAUGGAUGGUACAACGAGUUGCGAGACCGCGAGGUUUAGCUAAUCUCUUAAAACCAUUCUCAGUUCGGAUUGUAGGCUGCAACUCGCCUACAUGAAGCCGGAAUCGCUAGUAAUCAAGGAUCAGCAUGCCGCGGUGAAUACGCUCCCGGGC